rfam:Gorilla gorilla gorilla genomic chromosome, chr2B, whole genome shotgun sequence
GCCAGGUGUGGUGGCACACACCUGUAGUCCUAGCUACUUAGGAGGCUGAGACAGGUGGAUCAUUUGAGCCCAGGAAUCGGAGGCUGCAGUGAGCCAUGACUGUGCCACUGUACUCUAACCUGGGCAACAGAGUGAGACCCUGUCUCUA